UCAAGGAUUUGUAGACCAUAUGUCAAGCAUUGUUCAUGAGAUAGACAGACUUUUGUGUCUUCAAAUUGUAAUAUCUCUUAAAAAUAAAGAUUUUUCUCAUGCAAUUUGUUGAGAAUGUUCUUCACUCAGAUUAUCUUUCGUCCGUGAAAGGGUAGUUCCUAAUGAUUGUGUAUCUUGGGAGCAAUUUGUCUUGUCAUAGAGGUGAUUAAAGCAGAAUGCAGAUUGCUAGACCUUGGUGUCUUCAAAUUGGAUUUCUUGUAAGAUAUAAGGACUUUUCUCAUGAAUUUUUUUGGAUAUAUUCCUC
rnacentral:lncRNA from 1 species